rnacentral:rRNA from 1 species
GACGAACGCUGGCGGCGUGCCUAAUACAUGCAAGUCGAGCGAGACUCUUCGGAGUCUAGCGGCGGACGGGUGAGUAACACGUGGGCAACCUGCCUGUAAGACUGGGAUAACACCGGGAAACCGGUGCUAAUACCGGAUAAUCCUUUUCCUCUCAUGAGGAAAAGCUGAAAGCCGGUUUCGGCUGACACUUACAGAUGGGCCCGCGGCGCAUUAGCUAGUUGGUGAGGUAACGGCUCACCAAGGCGACGAUGCGUAGCCGACCUGAGAGGGUGAUCGGCCACACUGGGACUGAGACACGGCCCAGACUCCUACGGGAGGAAGCAGUAGGGAAUCUUCCACAAUGGACGAAAGUCUGAUGGAGCAACGCCGCGUGAGUGAUGAAGGUUUUCGGAUCGUAAAACUCUGUUGUAAGGGAAGAACACGUACGAGAGGAAAUGCUCGUACCUUGACGGUACCUUACGAGAAAGCCACGGCUAACUACGUGCCAGCCGCCGCCGUAA